rnacentral:rRNA from 1 species
AUGAACGCUGGCGGCGUGCUUAACACAUGCCAGUCGAACGGGAAACCUUUUAUUGAAGCUUCGGCAGAUUUAGCUGGUUUCUAGUGGCGGACGGGUGAGUAACGCGUGGGUAACCUGCCCUAUACAGGGGGAUAACAACCAGAAAUGGUUGCUAAUACCGCAUAAGCGCACAGGGCCGCAUGGUCCGGUGUGAAAAACUCCGGUGGUAUAGGAUGGACCCGCGUUGGAUUAGCCAGUUGGCAGGGUAACGGCCUACCAAAGCGACGAUCCAUAGCCGGCCUGAGAGGGUGAACGGCCACAUUGGGACUGAGACACGGCCCAGACUCCUACGGGAGGCAGCAGUGGGGAAUAUUGCACAAUGGGGGAAACCCUGAUGCAGCGACGCCGCGUGAAGGAAGAAGUAUCUCGGUAUGUAAACUUCUAUCAGCAGGGAAGAUAGUGACGGUACCUGACUAAGAAGCCCCGGCUAACUACGUG